GCCGUCGGCGCCCGAUGGAUGGGCUCCUGACUCUUCAUCAGGAUUGCGGAGGUUCGAUUCCUCCCGUCGGCA
rnacentral:tRNA from 1 species